rnacentral:lncRNA from 1 species
CUGAGGAAUUGUUGCAACCUAUGGACUAUUUGUUGGAAUCCUGACCAAACUGGAAAAGUGGCAGUAACCAUGGAAAAGUCAAAGACAAAAUGACAGCCAAAUCACACCAGUAAAUAAGUGGAGUGAAGACACGUCUGUUUUCACAGCUGAACACUGGAAAUUGCAAAUUUGAUUGCCACUGGCAUUGGAUGCUGGAACUGCUUCUGUUUUUACUGACACUAGCAUACCGGGAUACUUCGAAGUUGCUGUAGUCUCUGCAAUAUUGAGUGUUGGAAGGUGCUAGAAAAUGAGUGUCUGUCUUUUUUGUCUUUUAUACUGGAAGGCAAUCACCUAGACCUAUGCUGGAGAGUCAUCCUACAAGGUCAUUCAAAUGUACAAUAAACUGGUAUGUGUAUUAGUUACUUAUUACAGUACAAUAAGUUAAUCACAAAUAUGAAUGACUAAAACAAAAAAUGUUUAGUAUCUUGCAGUUUCUCUGGUCAGGAAUGUAUUGGCAGCUUAACUGAGUGGUUCUAGCUCAAGGUCUUUCAUGAAGGACCUGGUAGGGGCUGCAGGCAUCUGCUGUCUUGACAGGAGCUGGGGAAUUUGCUUACACGGUGACCCACUCACAUGGCCAUUGGAAGGAGGCACCAAUUUCCUGCCACAUGGGCCUCUUCGUAGGACUACAUUUGUGUUAUCAUGAUGUAGCAGCUGGCUUCUCCAGCGUGAGUAACGUAAGGGGGAGGAAGACAGGCAGAAGCCACGAUUUUUGUUAUAACUUAGCCUCAUAAACUACAUGUCAUCACUUCUGUCAUAUUUAUUGAUCACAUAAAGCAACAAUGAUAUAAAGAAGAAGAGUAGAGUUUAUUUCAUCACUUACAUUUCAAUUUUGGCUACUUAAUUUUAAUCAUAGAGUCUACAAUAGGGGUUUAUUUUAUUAAUCCAAGUAGUACCAAAUAUUACUCUGAGUUUGUUUAAUUAAUAUCCCUAUGAAUUCCUGGGGUUUCAGUCCACUUUGGGAAGAGGCUAGUUUGUUUUCAUAUCUUAAAAGUGAGUAAUAUCAGCAUUGUUGGUAAUUCUAUACCUUCAUAUUCCCAAAGUAGUAUCAAGCAAAUACAUGGUAAGAGUGAGCAUGAGAAGUUGAUGCUGUUCAGUUAUCUGGAUAGCAGGCUAAGCAUUAUUGAUAGAAAAAUCUGCAGCUAUACUCAGAAAACUCAGAACUUCAUGGCAACUUUUUUUUAAAUUAAAAUACAGUUCUUAAGGUUUCAAAGUUUUAUUUCUGUUUUUGUCAAAUAAAACUGUUCUUUCAGAGACCAAUAGUUAGAGGAAGAAACAAAUUAUAUGGACCUCUGGUACAAUUUCCCAAUCUGUGAGCUACCAGACCUGAGUGUUUUGGUAAGAGGUCCACAAAAUCAAAUAUAACAUUCCAUUGUCUGCAGACCAGUUAAUGACUGCAUAGUAUUUUAAUGUAUGUCAUAUGUACAAAUACAAAAAUAUCCUCCAAAAUGGGAAGAUUGGGAACACAAAUUAGAGCCAUCAAAUAAAACUGUUCUUUCAGAGACCAAUAGUUAGAGGAAGAAACAAAUUAUAUGGACCUCUGGUACAAUUUCCCAAUCUGUGAGCUACCAGACCUGAGUGUUUUGGUAAGAGGUCCACAAAAUCAAAUAUAACAUUCCAUUGUCUGCAGACCAGUUAAUGACUGCAUAGUAUUUUAAUGUAUGUCAUAUGUACAAAUACAAAAAUAUCCUCCAAAAUGGGAAGAUUGGGAACACAAAUUAGAGCCAUCAAAUAAAACUGUUCUUUCAGAGACCAAUAGUUAGAGGAAGAAACAAAUUAUAUGGACCUCUGGUACAAUUUCCCAAUCUGUGAGCUACCAGACCUGAGUGUUUUGGUAAGAGGUCCACAAAAUCAAAUAUAACAUUCCAUUGUCUGCAGACCAGUUAAUGACUGCAUAGUAUUUUAAUGUAUGUCAUAUGUACAAAUACAAAAAUAUCCUCCAAAAUGGGAAGAUUGGGAACACAAAUUAGAGCCAUCAAAAAUGCACAUUUUUCCAAUUCCAGGUGACUGAUUAAUUUGUAAAUGGAUUCAACCAUACUCUUUGGGUUUCAAUUUUGUACAAGGCAAUGCACACAAAUACAUAUGUAUCAACCAACAAUUAGGAUGUACAUUUUAUGUCUUAAAUAUCCUGUCAUUGAUAUUUGAGUGGAGUUUUAUUGGGAUCCAAUUGUAUCUACUUUCUGCAGGGGACAAAUUAGUUCAUACCUUAUCUUGACUUAUAGAGGAAUUACUUUUUCAACAGUUUGGAGAGGUGUACAAUUUACCAUACCUUCUGACCUGUAUUAUCUUACUUUUACGGUGAAUAAUAGCAACAAGAUAUUUUGAUCAGAAAAAUCCUGGUAUUUACUACUGAGGUAGUGGUGAAAUAAAAUGACAAACAUUCCUUAUCUGAUAAAAAUAUAUGCAAACCAGCUUUUGUCUUAACCAGUAGAAUAAUAAGAAAUAGAUUAGUUCCCUUCUCCAUUUUCUGUAGCCUUAUAUUUGUUUACCUAUGCAUGAUGAAAAGCAGAUUACUUUCUGAUUACACUGAAGGGUUAUUCAUGUUAUUUGGGGUAUUAUAUUUUUAGGAUUAUGUAUUAUUGCAUUUUAUUGUAAAAACGUAUGCUGUAGUCUUAUGGAAUAAUAAAGUAAUGACUAUGUCAUAAAGAAAUAAUGUAAACAUUGACUUAAUUUCUUGGCAAUACUUUAUAACAAGUAUUUCUUAUGGCUUACAGGAAAAUUAGUAGUUUCUGCACUUAAUUUAUUGUUUAACUCAUUAUAAUUUCAAUUUAUUUCCUAGCAUCCCACUACCUAAAUAGCUUUUAAUAAAGUUGCUUAUUAUCUCGAGUCUCUUUUUUUCUCUGAUUUUAUUUUAGUUUUUACUGUUCAGAAAAUCUGUCUGGCAUUUUACACUUUACUACACAACUCAUCCUUCUCAA